UGGCCAGACUCCUACGGGAGGCAGCAGUGGGGAAUAUUGCACAAUGGGGGAAACCCUGAUGCAGCAACGCCGCGUGAGUGAAGAAGUAUUUCGGUAUGUAAAGCUCUAUCAGCAGGGAAGAAAAUGACGGUACCUGAGUAAGAAGCCCCGGCUAACUACGUGCCAGCAGCCGCGGUAAUACGUAGGGGGCAAGCGUUAUCCGGAUUUACUGGGUGUAAAGGGAGCGUAGACGGCGAGGUAAGCCUGAAGUGGAAGCCCGCGGCCCAACCGCGGAACUGCUUUGGGAACUGUUUUGCUGGAGUAUGGGAGGGGUAAGUGGAAUUCCUGGUGUAGCGGUGAAAUGCGUAGAUAUCAGGAGGAACACCGGUGGCGAAGGCGGCUUACUGGACCAUAACUGACGUUGAGGCUCGAAAGCGUGGGGAGCGAACAGGAUUAGAUACCCCCGUACUG
rnacentral:rRNA from 1 species